ensembl:lncRNA
GUGGGAAUGGGCCACUGCCGGACAGCUUCCACCUUCUUCAGAUCCAUUUGUACUCCCCUGGCAUCAAUGAUGUAGCCCAAGAACUGAAUAGAGGAGCGGUGAAAUUCACAUUUUUCGAUUUUGAGGUACAGGUGAUUAUCCCUAAGUCUUUGGAGGACCUGUGCCACAUGGAGAUGAUGAUCGGCCUCGUUCUGCGAGUAUAUGAGGAUGUCAUCAAUGUAAAUGAUCACAAACCGAUGUAGGUAGUCCCGGAAUACCUCAUUCAUGAAGGCCUGGAAUACGGAGGGUGAAUUGGCUAGUCCGUAUGGCAUGACCCUGUAUUCAUAAUGCCCUGAAGGUGUGAUGAAGGCAGUCUUCCAUUCAUCCCCCCUCCGUAUACGGAUGAGGUUGUACGCACUGCGCAGGUCUAGCUUGGUGAAAAUGGACGCCCCUCUCAACAUCUCGAGUGCCGCUGGUACCAGGGGAAGGGGAUAUUUGUACUGUACGGUCUGCUUGUUAAGGGCCCGGUAGUCAAUGCAUGGUCUUAAGCCUCCGUCUUUCUUGGCUACAAAGAAGAAACUGGAAGCGGCAGGGGAUGUAGAAGGGCGGAUGUAACCCUGACUAAGAGCCUCUUCUACAUACUCUUCCAUGGCCUUCUGUUCUGGGAUGGAUAGGGGAUACACUCUUCCCUUAGGUAGGGUUGCACCUGGCAGCAGUUCAAUAGCACAGUCCCAUGGUCUGUGCGGUGGCAAACGGGUGGCGAGUUGCUUACUAAAAACAUCCCGGAAAGAGCUAUACUCUUCUGGGACUGCUAUAUCAUGCUGACCUCUGGGACUCUCGAUGGUUGUGGCCUGGAGGAGUAACUGGGUUGAUCUAGUAGGGGAAGAGGGUCUAGUAGGGAGUUUUAGACAACUUUCAAAGCAGGAGGCGCUCCAAGAGAGGAUGUCGCCAGUAGUCCAGGAAAGGUGUUGUUGCAGCCGUCUUUGACGUUCAGCAGGUGAGAGAUGGAAGGAGUCAACUUGCAUCGGUUCGAUGGCUGAUGCUGAAGGAUAUUGCACUGGGGAAGAUAGGGCUACUGCGGUGGUGGUAGGUGAAGUAGGAGGCGCGGGCAAUCCCAGAUCACAUGCUGCUAGCCUCUGGGCUACCCGGAUAGAACGUUGGAUCAGAUUCUCCAAACCAAAGCUAUCAUCAUAGAUGGCGAGAUGUAAUCGGAGAGAUGGGGAUAGCCCCUGUCUAUAAGCUGUGAUGAGAGCAGCCUCAUUCCAUCCGCUCGCAGCUGCUAAGGUGCGGAACUUCACUGCAUACUCCGCCACCGAGGAUCUUCCCUGCUUUAGGUGAUAUAAUUGGUCAUGUACAGAAAGGGAGUUUGCAGAUUGAUCAAAUACCUCCUUAAAAUGUGUUACGAAGGUUUCCAGGGUACGAGUUGCAGGCCCAGCUUGUUCCCAGAUGGUUUUAGCCCACAGGAGAGCACGACCAGAGAGCAGUGAGAUAAUAAAUGCGAUCUUGGCUCUAUCUGUGGGGAAGCGCUGAGGUUGCAUCUCAAACAAUAAAGUGCACUGCAGUAGAAAGCCGCUGCAAUUCUCCGCCGCGCCACUGAACGGCGCUGGUAGGGCCAUAGGACCGGCCGGCAGUUCAGGUGAGGAAGCGGCGCCUGGAGGAAAGAGUGACUGCCGGAGCUGAUUCACGAGUUCGGCAAAUGGAUCGAUUUGUGACGUGGUCGGAGAACUGGGGUCCAUAUCUUCGUGAAAUAGUGGUCUGGUCUUCUGUCACGCACCACUGAAGCACAGGAGACAAGAUGAGAAUUCACUGAAUUUUAAUGAAGAGAUAAUACUCAGGGGAAACACCGCAGAGAUGAACGGAUGUGAAAGCCCAGUAUCCGAGAGACUUAUUAACUUCCACAACACAAGUCCUGGUGUACUUCAGAGAAGAGGAGAAUGGUAGGCCACUGACCAACGGCAGAAGAUGACGUCGAUGACGAUGAGGACGAAGAGGAUCUGAGAACUGGAGAUCAGGAGUCGGGUAAGUCUUUCACAUACGCGAUAGACGAGACCAGACGAUUAGGAGUCUGUGAGUGCGGGUUUAUAUGCACGUCUUGAUUGGGCAGCGGCAGGUGCAAUGACUUAAUACUCAGGUGAGCAGGAACGGGAAGGUUGAGCUGUAGGGUCUGACGCUGGUUGGUUGGCUGGAUCCGUGACAUAAUGUUGGA